CUCAAACCCUCUCUCCCCAAACUAUAAUCUCUCAUUCUCCCUCUGGCUGCGCCCCAAACCCGCAAACCUUUAUCUCUCGUUCUCCCUCUGGUUGCGCCCUAAAGCCCCAAACGCUCUCUCUCUCUCUCUCAUAGAUCUCUCGAUCCCUCUCCUUCAUUUCUCCAUAUCUCUUGAUCUUCGUCCAGUUCGAUCUGCCCUUUGAUUCAGCUCAUCAUCAUAUCCGAUCUAAACCGUCAAGUUCUUGAUGAUUCACAAUGGACUCAGUCAUGAAUACCUUCUCCUCAAGAACUCAGUUGAGUUGCUUCAAUGAUGCUGAGGAUGAAGGAGGUGGUGUUCUGGGGACAACAUGCGAGAAUGGAACAAGUCUUGAGCUUGUAAGCGUUCUAGAGGCAUCUCCUGCUCACUUGGAAAUCACAUGAUCAACCUUUGGGGAGGUUGCUGCUGUGUUCUGUAAAUCCCUGAGGCUUACACAUGAGGGUUGCAUAAAGUUUGCAUCUGGGAAAAUAACCAACUUGAUGACAACGGAUGCUGAAGCACUACAGG